rnacentral:rRNA from 1 species
UUCUUCACGAAGAGUUUGAUCCUGGCUCAGGAUGAACGCUGGCGGCGUGCCUAAUACAUGCAAGUCGAACGAAGAGUGUAGCAAUAUGCUCUUAGUGGCGAACGGGUGAGUAACACGUGGGUGACCUACCCCAAAGUGUGGAAUAACUCCUCGAAAGAGGUGCUAAUACCGCAUGUGGUCCUAGAGAUUAGAGGCUUAGGGACUAAAGACUUCGGUCGCUUUGGGAGGGGCCCGCGGCCCAUCAGCUAGUUGGUGAGGUAAUGGCUCACCAAGGCAGUGACGGGUAGGGGACUUGAGAGGGUGACCCCCCACACUGGAACUGAAACACGGUCCAGACACCUACGGGUGGCAGCAGUAGGGAAUAUUGGUCAAUGGGCGAAAGCCUGAACCAGCAACGCCGCGUGCGCGAUGAAGGCCUUCGGGUCGUAAAGCGCUUUUGGGAGGGAUGAAAAUGACAGUACCUCCCGAAUAAGGAUCGGCUAACUACGUGCCAGCAGCCGCGGUAAGACGUAGGAUCCAAGCGUUAUCCGGAAUUACUGGGCGUAAAGGGCGUGUAGGAGGUUGGGCAAGUCGGCCAUGAAAGCUCCCGGCUCAACUGGGAGAGGCUGGUCGAUACUGCCUGGCUAGAGGGCAAGAGAGGGAGGUGGAAUUCCCGGUGUAGUGGUGAAAUGCGUAGAUAUCGGGAGGAACACCAGUGGCGAAGGCGGCCUCCUGGCUUGUACCUGACUCUGAAACGCGAAAGCAUGGGUAGCAAACAGGAUUAGAAACCCUGGUAGUCCAUGCCAUAAACGAUGUCAACUGGGUGUCGGCGAAGUAAAAUUUGUCGGUGCCGAAGCUAACGCGUUAAGUUGACCGCCUGAGGACUACGAUCGCAAGAUUAAAACUCAAAGGAAUUGACGGGGACCCGCACAAGCAGCGGAGCGUGUGGUUUAAUUCGAGGCUACGCGAAGAACCUUACCAGGGUUUGACAUUCAUGUAGUAGGGAAGCGAAAGCGGACCGACCCUUCGGGGAGCAUGAACAGGUGAUGCAUGGCUGUCGUCAGCUCGUGCCGUGAGGUGUUCGGUUAAGUCCGUUAACGAGCGCAACCCUUGUCGCAUGUUACACGUGUCAUGCGAGACUGCCGGUGUCAAACCGGAGGAAGGUGGGGACGACGUCAAGUCAGCAUGUCCUUUAUAUCCUGGGCUACACACACGCUACAAUGGCCGGGACAAUGGGUUGCCAAGCCGCGAGGCGGAGCCAAUCCCUCAAACCCGGUCUCAGUUCGGAUUGUAGGCUGCAACUCGCCUACAUGAAGUUGGAGUUGCUAGUAACCGCGCGUCAGCACAGUGCGGUGAAUACGUUCCCGGGUCUUGUACACACCGCCCGUCACGUCAUGGGAGCUGGCAAUGCCUGAAGCCGGUGGCCUAACCGCAAGGAAGGAGCCGUCUAGGGCAGGGUCGGUGACUGGGACGAAGUCGUAACAAGGUAGCAGUACCGGAAGGUGCGGCUGGAUCACCUCCUUUC